GACGAACCGUACGAACGUUAUUCGGAAUCACUGGGCUUAAAGGGUGCGUAGGCGGCGCUGAAAGUUGGGUGUGAAAUCCCUCGGCUUAACCGAGGAAUUGCGCCCAAAACUACAGUGCUUGAGGGAGAUAGAGGUGAGUGGAACUUAGGGUGGAGCGGUGAAGUGCGUUGAUAUCCUAAGGAACACCAGUGGCGAAAGCGACUCACGGGGUCUUCUAUGACGAUGAGGCACGAAAGCUAGGGUAGCGAACGGG
rnacentral:rRNA from 1 species